rnacentral:rRNA from 1 species
AUUCUACAAUUUUUCGGCGACGCAACAGGACUUAGAUUAAACCAGGAAAAAUCUUCAGUAGCUGCAAUUAGGCGCGAAGGCAUAAACCUCUCGAAGGUACUACAAGACUUCGGGGAAAAAUUUGUAGGUUUCCCGAUGACCUACCUCGGCCUCCCAAUCUCCACGCAUAGGAUUAGAGUAGUACAUCUCCAAUUCAUCCUGGAUAGAAUUAGGGCGCGACUCACGGGCUGGAAAGGCAAGCUCAUGACCAUAGUUGGCAGGCGUGUGUUGAUUCGUAGCGUGCUCUCUGCAAUACCAACUUUUGCUCUAACGGUGCUCCGACCACCAGAGAAAUUGAUGAAGGAAAUUGACAAGACUAGAAGAAGAUUCCUCUGGGCUCCAGAAGAAGACACAUCAGGUGCAGCAUGCAAGGUGAGCUGA